rnacentral:rRNA from 1 species
AUUGAACGCUGGCGGCAGGCCUAACACAUGCAAGUCGAGCGAGCGGCGGACGGGUGAGUAAUGUCUGGGAAACUGCCUGAUGGAGGGGGAUAACUACUGGAAACGGUAGCUAAUACCGCAUACCAUCAGAUGUGCCCAGAUGGGAUUAGCUCGUAGGUGGGGUAACGGCUCACCUAGGCGACGAUCCCUAGCUGGUCUGAGAGGAUGACCAGCGACACGGGAAAUGAUAAACGGUCCAGGCGCCUACGGGAGGCAGCAGUGGGGAAUAUUGCACAAUGGGCGCAAACCUGAUGCAGCCAUGCCGCGUGUGUGAAAAAGGCCUUGUGGGUGUAAAGCACGUUCAGCGGUUGUGCGUUACCCGCAGAAGAAGCACCGGCUAACUCCGUGCCAGCAGCCGCGGUAAUAC